GCCGGCAGUUAGCUCUCUGCAACUCUUACAUUUUCACCAACUGAAGCUAAGCAGGGCUGCGCCUGAUCAGUACAUGGAUGGAAGAUCACAUGGAAAAGAGAGGUUGCUGCCGGAA
ensembl:rRNA 5S_rRNA 5S ribosomal RNA